UGUCAGACACAUUUAACCCUCUCCACAGAAUAACCGAUGCACAGACAGCUGUCUCUCGCUUUCCUCGCCCUCUCUUGCUCCUUUUCUCCUUAUGUGGUUCCAUCUAUUCUUUCUUUGCAGCUUUUUAUUUCUCUGUGUGGCAUUAGAAACUCUCCUGGAGAAGGAAUUUAUGUAAGGGAAAUAAGACAGAGUCCUCAAGCAGGGCCAGCUACAAGACACACACAUCUACACACACUGGAGAAAGCCACAACAUAAACACAUCCAACAACAAAGCAAGAAGAGGACGUCUGGAACAGAAGGACCAACUUCAAAAAGUUUGAGGAUUACUGUGUGAAAGAGAGGCAAGCUGAAACAGCAAGACCAUGCCGGACUUUCAGAUCCGGAUUGGGUUUGUGCCGGUACUGAUGGUCUGUUGCUUGCUGUUGUUGGCAUCUGGUUCAGGGAAUGCACGCAUGAGGAAAAGGGGACUCAACCAGAAGGACUACGAGUACCCCAACCAUCCCGAGACCACUCAGCACCAAAAGAACGACCGCUGCCCUCCGCCGCCCCAGAUGCUGCCUGAGAAGGCCUGUGAGGUGCCGGGCUGUCGGUCCGAUUCCGAAUGUGAGAGACACAAACGAUGCUGUUACAACGGCUGCAUUUACGCAUGCCUUGAGUCAGUGCAACCUCCACCAGUGCUGGACUGGUUGGUGCAGCCCAAGCCACGGUGGUUGGGAGGGAAUGGCUGGCUUUUAGAUGGACCAGAGGAGGUUUUGCAGGCUGAGGCUUGCAGCACCACAGAGGAUGGAGAUGAGCCUUUGCUUUGUCCCACUGGUUAUGAGUGCCAUAUCAUUAACCCAGGAAACCCAUCUGCUGGGAUCCCAAACCGAGGCCAGUGCAUCAAACAGCGAGGAAACUCAGGUCUGCAGGAACUCCACACCAUCAUCCACCAUCCAUCCAUCUACUCACACAUACAAUGGACGUAGCCUGAGACACAAGUACUACAAAGAUUACAAGGAUUAUUUAGGAAGUAACUCCAACAAUGCAGUGAGCUAUGAGAAAAAUCAACACAAGCACUUAGGCUGAGACAGAGAUGAGUGACUGAAUGUGGAUUUUGUUUUAUGGGACUGUUAUAACCACUUACCCUUAUACCUGAACACUGCCACAGUGAAACUGGUCAAGACUUUCUCUUCAGCCUAAACCAGAGACAGGUUCACAUCUGGUGCUCAAACAUUGUGACAGAAAUUAAAAGCUAAAAAUGUCCUACCUCUUACAAAAGCCAGCCAAACAUAUGACAGACAGUAUCAAAAGCUAAUACAGUGUCAGUAUACAUUAGCACUCAUUGUGUAAAUAGCACAUGCCCUCAAAACUAACCAUAUUUACUGAAAGAUUGAUUGUUUUGACACAAAGCAGGCUUACAGUGCAUCCGGAAAGUAUUCACAGUGCUUCACUUUUUCCACAUUUGUUAU